GACGGAGGGGGCUAGCGUUGUUCGGAAUGACUGGGCGUAAAGGGCGCGUAGGCGGUUUUUUAAGUGAGGCGUGAAAGCCCUGGGCUUAACCCAGGAGGUGCGUUUCGGACUGGAAGACUUGAGUGCGAGAGAGGAAAGUGGAAUUUCUAGUGUAGAGGUGAAAUUCGUAGAUAUUAGAAAGAACACCCGUGGCGAAGGCGGCUUUCUGGCUCGCAACUGACGCUGAGGCGCGAAAGCGUGGGGAGCAAACAGG
rnacentral:rRNA from 1 species